rnacentral:rRNA from 1 species
AUUGAACGCUGGCGGCAGGCCUAACACAUGCAAGUCGAGCGGAUGAAGGGAGCUUGCUCCUGGAUUCAGCGGCGGACGGGUGAGUAAUGCCUAGGAAUCUGCCUGGUAGUGGGGGAUAACGUCCGGAAAUGGGCGCUAAUACCGCAUACGUCCUGAGGGAGAAAGUGGGGGAUCUUCGGACCUCACGCUAUCAGAUGAGCCUAGGUCGGAUUAGCCAGUUGGUGGGGUAAAGGCCUACCAAGGCGACGAUCCGUAACUGGUCUGAGAGGAUGAUCAGUCACACUGGAACUGAGACACGGUCCAGACUCCUACGGGAGGCAGCAGUGGGGAAUAUUGGACAAUGGGCGAAAGCCUGAUCCAGCCAUGCCGCGUGUGUGAAGAAGGUCUUCGGAUUGUAAAGCACUUUAAGUUGGGAGGAAGGGCAGUAAGUUAAUACCUUGCUGUUUUGACGUUACCAACAGAAUAAGCACCGGCUAACUUCGUG